rnacentral:rRNA from 1 species
GACGAACGCUGGCGGCGUGCAUAACACAUGCAAGUCAAGGGGGGUCAGUAGCAAUACUGGCAACCGGCGAACGGGUACGUAACACGUAAGCGACCUACCUCGAUGUGGGGCAUAGCCGGCCUAACGGCCGGGUAAUUCCGCAUGUGAUCCUGGAGAGGCAUCUCUCCGGAAUGAAACCAGUAAUGGGCAUUGAGAGGGGCUUGCGGCCUAUCAGCUUGUUGGUGAGGUAACGGCUCACCAAGGCUACGACGGGUAGCUGGUCUGAGAGGAUGGCCAGCCACAUUGGGACUGAGAAACGGCCCAGACUCCUACGGGAGGCAGCAGUGGGGAAUCUUGCGCAAUGGUCUAACGACUGACGCAGCGACGCCGCGUGAGGGAUGAAGCUCCUCGGAGUGUAAACCU